ACGGAACUAGUCUACUUACAGAAGUCUACUUACAGAACUACUUACAGUCUUACAGAAACUACUCCUUCUCCCAGAUCAAGAAAUCCAGACCUUGUCUAGAGGAGAUCAGUCGAUUUCAUCUCCAGUGUAUGAUCAAAUAGAGCACACAAAGUUCAUCCUUGUUUCACAAAUUCACAUUCUUCGGCUGAGAAGAAGGAUAUUCAGAGAAAGUUUCCUUCAUCUAGUCAUCUGUAAAGACUGUUCAUACUUUCAAGACUUUGCAGUAGGAUUCGG
rnacentral:lncRNA from 1 species